ensembl:lncRNA
AGGAUCACAAAGCUAUAUAGGGCAAACAACACCUCUAACUAAGGAGUGCAGGAUGACGUCGGCAUCAACCAUGACGAACAGCCAGAACAUCGCCCAAGCCACACAAGCUCUAGAGCGAGACAUGCAUGCGUGGGACCUCUCAGACUCCCCACCGCCUGCGCUGCUAAUCCAGACCCCACCACCUCCUCCCCCCUCUCCUCAGCUGCUGCAGGAUCCUACAGGAUCAGGUCUGUGUGAGGAAACCAUUAUCGACAUCAAGCUUGCAACCCACCACCUGGUGAUGUUGGCAUUAAACGCCUUUCUACAGGAAACAUGCUACGGAUGUCGAACAGCUCAACCCAGUCAGGUGUAACACAGUUGUUUGCUCGAACUGCCCGAGUAUUACUUUGACACCUACUACGACGAUGUGAUGCUGAGGCUCAAUACAUUCCGAUUCAUCCCUGCCAUUCGCCUGUUUGUACGCUCGUACACAGUCGAUGGGACUAAAACACAAUUCAGCAGGAUAGCAGAACACACCAUGACUGAACUGAGAUCAUCACAACAUAUAGUAUGCGCAAUUAACGACAAUAUUGCACAGCUGCUAGAAGCAAGUCAUUAUGCCCGUCGUGUUAAACCAGCCAUGCUUCGCAUGAUUGGUAACUACUGGGCUGGGAGACACCUGGUUUAAUGUAUGUUGUUCAGUAUUCAUUGUCUGUGUGAAUGAAAUAAAAAGACAUGUCAACACCGACACCUUAGUCAUUUGCGGUCGACUUUGCUUAUACAAUAGAGAAAAGCAACAAUACAGCGUGUUUCUCUGCUCCAAGACAUCGCUGGGCCUUUCACACGGUGAGCAUGUCUGUUAUACCCAGCGCAUAAAUGUCUGUAUGUCAGUGCUGAUUAUACAAACACCAUUUAAAAUGUGACACAUAUGUUGUCCGAAAACAAAUCCUCUAAAUUUGCAAAGUUACUGAUUUAAAAAUAUAUUUACGAAUUUUUAGUUGCAUGACAAACAUACGAUAGACUCUUGAGUGUAUUUAUUUAUAUAGCUACAUUCACAAUGGUAUAAACGUGCUAAAUAAAAGAGGCCCAAGCACCAAUGCACUCUAAUGCAAGCCUCUAAACUGUAUGUUGAUAAGUGCAUGAAGUUAGCCUCUACCUCUACAGUUGAAAACAGUUUGUAUCCGCACUCUGAGGGUCUGCUGAAUUGUUUUUAAUAUUGCGCUUUUUUUCACGAACUGCAGAUGAUGAAUUUCUCUUUAUUGGACAUAGUGUCCUUAAGCUAUUGUUGCUCAUACUUACAGAGUUCCCUAGCUACUUCUUUACUAUGUCAGUAAACUUUUUGAAAAGGAAGGCAUUGUAGAUUUAAAGAAACAUCCUAAUUGAAGCAAAGGCAAAAAAUCGGAAUGAAUUUUAUGUGACUGUUCAUAUUAAAGCCAACAACAAGUGAAAAUCCAAAACCGACUCCAAUCCUUUGUAUUAAUGAUCUCCCGCUCUCUCUCUCUCUCUCUCUCUCUCUCUCUCUCUCUCUGUGUGUGUGUGUGUGUGUGUGUG